rnacentral:rRNA from 1 species
ACUACGGGCGGCAGCAGUGGGGAAUAUUGCACAAUGGGGGAAACCCUGAUGCAGCGACGCCGCGUGAGUGAAGAAGUAUUUCGGUAUGUAAAGCUCUAUCAGCAGGGAAGAAGAAAGACGGUACCUGACUAAGAAGCCCCGGCUAACUACGUGCCAGCAGCCGCGGUAAUACGUAGGGGGCAAGCGUUAUCCGGAUUGACUGGGUGUAAAGGGAACGUAGACGGCUGUGCAAGUCUGAAGUGAAAGCCCAGGGCUCAACCCUGGGACUGCUUUGGAAACUGUGGAGCUAGAGUGCUGGAGAGGUAAGUGGAAUUCCUAGUGUAGCGGUGAAAUGCGUAGAUAUUAGGAGGAACACCAGUGGCGAAGGCGGCUUACUGGACAGUAACUGACGUUGAGGCUCGAAAGCGUGGGGAGCAAACAGGAUUAGAUACCCUUGUAGUC